UUCUCGUCGCGAUCGAGGCUCCCGAUGAAUCAUCACAGGCUCCUGCCCUCCUCCACGCGCAUCUCGAUCUCCUCCAAGUCCAGCUCGUCCUCGUUCAGGUGCAGGUACGGAUUAUCCACCACCGGCCUGAACAUGUACCCGGUGGUGAGGUAAAAUGCGAGCGUCGCCGCCUCGGCCGCGAAAUCGGCGAGCCACGUGAGGUUAUACGCCGCCGUGGACUUCAACAGGAACACUAUGAUCCUGGUGAAGUAGAUGUACGCGACCACCAUGACGUAGAACUGCCUGAAGAGGAUGAGCUUGUUCAUGUUGCGAACCUUCUUGCCGUCAGUCAUGGCAGCCUCUCGCAGGUGCUUGAUGCUCCACACGAUUGGGAAGAGGAUCGCGCAGCAGCAGACGAUGUCGAGGAGGUGGAAGAGGUCGCGCCACUCCAGCCAGCCCGCGAGCGCGGGGCCGUCGGCGUCGACGAUGUCCGCCGCGAUGUUGGCGAACACCUGCAGAGGGAUCACGAGCAUCAGCAUCUGCUUCUCGCGCUCGUUGAGGAACGGCUUGAGGAAGCUCCAGCCGGUCCCGAUGAGGACGACGAUGGUGAAGAACAUCAGGCCCUUCGCCGCGGAGAAGAUGUAGAACGCGACGUUCCAUCCGUCGGGGUCGCCGUGCACGCGGAUCACGUGGUACAUGAACGACUUGCUCAGCACGCUCAGCGACUUGACGCACACGAGCAGGAGCAUGAGCCAGUGGAUCCUCUUGACGCUGCCGGGCUGCGUCUGCUUGGCGUUGAAGAGCACCCACGCCCACACCACCGCCGCCGCGGCGAAGGUGAAGAAGGCGAACAUGUACAUCGUGGGCAAGGGUUUCUCCCCCGCGCUCAGGUAGUCCUUGUCGCCGUUCGGCAAGGUGUUGUACAGAUCCACGGUGAUCGUGAACGAAACGGC
rnacentral:lncRNA from 1 species